UACACUGACGUCGCGACGCAUAUCAAUAAGCGGAGGAAAAGAAACUAACUAGGAUUCCCUCAGUAACGGCGAGUGAAGCGGGAAGAGCUCAAAUUUGAAAUCUUCAAGGUUCUACCUUGACGAAUUGUAGUUUAAAGAAGUGUUUUCUGUUGGAGUUUUGGUAAAAGUUCUUUGGAAUAGGACAUCAUAGAGGGUGAGAAUUCCGUAUUUGACCAUUAUUUCCAACUUUGUGAUACACUCUCAAAGAGUCGGAUUGCUUGGGAAUGCAGUCCAAAAUGGGUGGUAAAUUUCAUCUAAAGCUAAAUACUGGCGAGAGACCGAUAGCGAACAAGUACCGUGAGGGAAAGAUGAAAGGAACUUUGAAAAGAGAGUUAAACAGUACGUGAAAUUGUCAAAAGGGAAGCGUUUGACACCAGUGUUGUUUUUCCGAAAAUCAAUUACGAAUGUUUUGUUUUUAAGAGUUAUGACUUCAUCGGCUUGCUCCUUUCUUUACGAAACUUUCUUAAUGCACUUUUCGGUUAACAAGUCAACAUCAAUUUCUUUUGUUGUAAAAGGGUAUGAGGAAGGUGGCUUUCUUUUCGGAGAAAGUGUUUAUAGCCUUGUGCCUCUGCAAUCGGAGAGAUUGAGGUCUGCAGCGUAGAUCCCUUCGGGGUUAGAUACGUUUGUGCUAAGUUAUAGCUUUUCAUAGACAACUUGUUGACUAUGUUUAGUCUUGUAGCUUACUCGCUGAUGCUAUUUUACCUACGCUUAGGAUGUUGAUGUGAUACUGCGAGCA
rnacentral:rRNA from 1 species